UUUAUUACUUCUGCCACGACAGCACCUCAAAACGCUGCCGUAUCAGCAGGGGCAGACGUGCCGGCGAGCCCACGCAGGACGCGUUACGGCCACAGCCGGCGACCCGCCCGCCAGUCGGCUCUGCCUAGGAAAGAGAAGGGGCCGGGCCGGGCCGGGCCGGGCAGUGCCCAGCACCCGCCUCCCGACCGCCUCCCGCGGCUCGGAGGUCCUCCAGGAAGCGCCGCCCGGCAGGGAAGGGCCGCGGAAGCUUUCGGCGGGGAAAGGGAGCGGGGACGGCGGCGGAGCGCAGGCCUCGGCCGCCCUCCGGCCCCAGAGCGGGCCAACGGAGCCAGGCCCGGCAGCGGCGCGGCUUCUCACGCUCCGCGCCCGGGCAGCUGCUCACCUGCGGGCCUCGGCGUCUCUCGCAUAGCGGGCCCCAGUCCCGGCUGCAGCGCUCGAUAUGACUCCUGAAUCCUCAAGCUGAUGAAAAGCAGAAGAGCAAGUGGGCUACAGAGUCUGUCUCUGCUGACAAGUGGUAUCAGUGAUAAGCUCGGAGUGAACCAAAGGAUGAAUUUAUCAAGGUGCAUGUACAGACAAGACUUCCUCUGAUGUAUGAUAGCUUCUUGUCAAAGUCUUGGAAACAUUCUGGCAUGGGGGUAGAAAACUGGGAGUAAAUGAAGAAUGCAACAGAAUUAUAAAUUUGAGAAUAGUCUUGGGAGAGAGAAAGGCCAUAUUUGCUCUGGAACAGAGAGGUACAUAUAUGUUGGGACAGCAAGAUGUGGAUAUAAGACCCUGUUCUCCAUGGUGAUGUAUUUAAAACCCUUCUCAAUGGCAGGGCUUGUGUAAUAUCUGUGAAUUUGGAUUUCAACAAGAAAAGAAAUACAAAAACAAAAAAUCCAUAGCAAAUGCUGAGAGAAUAGAGUGGUGAAACAGUAGUCAAACACAUGUAAAACAUUAUGGAUCUGUCCUGGGUAAACCUUGCAAGGGCAGAGACUUUCAGAAUUGUUUUAUGAAGCAGCGAGGCUAAUGACACCUCAUUCAUAGACUCUAAUUGUCCUCCAUGGGGAGUGCAGAACAGAACCUAGGCUUGAACUUAAGGUGCCUUCCACGGUGCAUUUGAGGUAUUCUGGCCACAUCAUCUGACAGUCUCACAGCUCUAGAAAAGGAAUUUUAUUUAUUUUAUUUUUUUCUGUGAAAACAUGAAAUGAAACAUACAUCCUGAAUUGUUCUGAACUGAGUUUGAAAGUACACAAGUCCUUAGCCAUUCGUUAAGAUGAAUGCUCUUCUUCUGUCUCUGAGAUUCAUACAGUUAAAUAUGCAAGAAUGUAAAUCUGUCAUAAUGUAAUAGAGACAUGCUGUCCAUUGAUAUUCAGUGACUUCAUAUACAGGUGCUCUGCUAUGAACCACCAAAACCUGGGCUGAGAGCUAGUAUUUCCCUCUCUUUUGGGGUGUCUGAUGCCAUUACACUGUCUGAAAUGAAAUGAUUAUGUUCCCUUGAUGUUCCACAUUGGAUUUUCACCUAGCCUAAAUGUAAAUAUCAUAGAUGCUUGCAUGCACAUGUGUGGUUCACCCAUUGUUUGAAAUGCAGCUGUUAUGAUUUUCUUAAUCUUAGGUAAACACAGCAUGUAUAAAUCUUCUGCUACCUUCCACCAG
ensembl:lncRNA